AAAAAAUAAAAUCAAAUAAAAUAAAAUGAAAUCAAAUAAAAUAAAAUAAAAUAAAAUAAAAUCAAAUAAAAUCUAAUCAAAUCAAAUCAAAUCAAAUAAAACAAAAUCUAAUCAAAUGAAAUAAAAUAAAAUAAAAUAAAACAAAAUAAGAUAAAAUCAAAUCAAAUCAAAUAAGACAAAUAAAAUAAAAAGAAAGUCUAAUUGAUCAAGAAUCGCACACAUAGAAUAGUUCUACCAUGAGUCCCCGACAAUGGCACCAAAAACUUGUUGACAAAUUGGCAAGUGUACCAAAUCGUUCAAGUAAUAAUAAAAUGGUAAGUCCAAGUAUCGUUUUCCCAAGAGACUCACGGCAGUAAACUGUUGUGCUUUUGCUUAACCAAUCAAGACUAUAAAAAUAAUAUUUUGGGAUUUUUAUAAAGUGCAGAAAAAUAAACAUGAAUGCAAUUUGAUCAAUUGAGGUUAAACACAAAAGUGGAUGAAUGAAUGGAGUUGUUGGGGGUUUACAAUUUCAUCUAAUCCGCUCUCUCUUACAUACUACCUUUGAAUAUUAGUUUGAUUAAUUCAAUUGUGAUGCGACUUUCUUAGCCUCCCCUUAACCCGAUCCCUCGGCGAAAAGGGCCUAAUAUUAACUACUGGCUUGCUAUCCCUAGCCUCCCCUAGUAAUUAAUACCGCAUUAUA
rnacentral:lncRNA from 1 species